GCCUGGCUGGCUCAGUCAGUAGAGCACAUGACUCUUGAUCUCGGGGUCAUGAGUUCAAGCCUCACACUGGGCA
rnacentral:tRNA from 1 species